rnacentral:tRNA from 1 species
CCUGAUGGCUCAGAUGGUAAAGAAUCUGCCUGCUAUGCAGGAGACCCAGGUUGGAUCCCUGGGUCAGGA